rnacentral:rRNA from 1 species
UACAGAGGUCCCGAGCGUUGUUCGGAUUUAUUGGGCGUAAAGGGUGCGUAGGCGGCGGAGUAAGUUGGGUGUGAAAUCCCGGGGCUUAACCUCGGAAUGGCAUUCAAUACUGCUUCGCUCGAGUACUGGAGAGGAGGCUGGAAUUUACGGUGUAGCAGUGAAAUGCGUAGAUAUCGUAAGGAAGGCCGGUGGCGAAAGCGAGCCUCUGGACAGUUACUGACGCUGAUGCACGAAGGCCAGGGGGAGCAAACGGG